GACGAACGCUGGCGGCGUGCUUAACACAUGCAAGUCGAACGGAAAGGCCCUGCUUUUGUGGGGUGCUCGAGUGGCGAACGGGUGAGUAACACGUGAGUAACCUGCACUUGAAUUUGGGAUAACUUCAGGAAACUGGGGCUAAUACAGGAUAGGAGCUCCUGCUGCAUGGGGGGGGUUGGAAAGUUUCGGCGGUUGGGGUUGGACUCGCGGCUUAUCAGCUUGUUGGUGGGGUAGUGGCGUACCAAGGUUUUGACGGGUAGCCGGCCUGGGAGGGUGACCGGCCACAGUGGGCCUGGGGUACGGCCCAGACGCCUUCGUGAGCCAGGGGUGGGGACUUUUGCGCACUGGGCGGCGGCCUGAUGGAGCAACUUCGCGUGCGGGAUGACGGCCUUCGGGUUGUAACCCGCUUUCGCCUGUGACGAAGCGUGAGUGACGGUACUGGGUAAAGAAGCACCGGCUACCUCCGU
rnacentral:rRNA from 1 species